rnacentral:rRNA from 1 species
UACGAAGGGGGCUAGCGUUGCUCGGAAUUACUGGGCGUAAAGGGCGCGUAGGCGGAUGCUUAAGUUGGGGGUGAAAGCCCAGGGCUCAACCCUGGAAUUGCCUUCAAUACUGGGCAUCUUGAGUACGGGAGAAGUGUGUGGAACUCCGAGUGUAGAGGUGAAAUUCGUAGAUAUUCGGAAGAACACCAGUGGCGAAGGCGACACACUGGCCCGUUACUGACGCUGAGGCGCGAAAGCGUGGGGAGCAAACAGG